rnacentral:rRNA from 1 species
GACGAACGCUGGCGGCGCGCCUAACACAUGCAAGUCGAGCGAGAAGCGGGACUUCGGUCCCGUGGAGAGCGGCGAACGGGUGCGUAACACGUGAGCAACCUGCCCCGAAGACCGGGACAACCGAUGGAAACGUCGGCUAAUACCGGAUGCCCUCACCGGAUCGCAUGGUCUGGUGAGGAAAUGGAUUCCGCUUCGGGAUGGGCUCGCGGUCUAUCAGCUUGUUGGUGGGGUAACGGCCCACCAAGGCGACGACGGAUAGCUGGUCUGAGAGGACGAUCAGCCACACUGGGACUGAGACACGGCCCAGACUCCUACGGGAGGCAGCAGUGGGGAAUCUUGCGCAAUGGGGGAAACCCUGACGCAGCGACGCCGCGUGCGGGAUGAAGGCCUUCGGGUUGUAAACCGCUUUCAGCAGGGACGAAAUUGACGGUACCUGCAGAAGAAGGCCCGGCCAACUACG